GGUUAAACUAUUAAGAGCAUAUGGCGGAUGCCUUGGCAAUAAGGGCCGAAGAAGGGCGUAGCAAGUCUGCGAUAAGCCUCGACUAGCUGUCUAGCAAGCUUAAUCGAGGAUUCCCGAAUGUGGAAACACAUCUGUAGAGAUGCAAAUUUAAUUUGCGGUAAGUGGGGGAACUGAAACAUCUAAGUACCCCGAGGAAAAUAAAUCGAAUGAGAUUCCCUGAGUAGCGGUGAGCGAAAUGGGACCAGCCUAAAUUACUGGAUCUUAACGGAUUGGAGUCUUUUGAUCUGGUUCGGUUGUAGGAGUCUAUAUGAAUACCUCCAAGUGUUCAGAAGAGUAAGAAAUCGUUUUUUUAGAAGAAUGAAGUUUGGAAAAACCAGCCAUAGAGGGUGAUAGCCCCGUAUUUGAAAAAAAGACGACUCUUCAUAGAUUUCCUGAGUACCACGGGACACGUGAAAUCCUGUGGGAAUCUAGGGAGACCACUCUCUAAGGCUAAAUACCCUUAUUGACCGAUAGUGAACUAGUACCGUGAGGGAAAGGUGAAAAGAACCCCUAAAGGGGAGUGAAAUAGAACUGAAACCGUAUGCUUACAAGCCGUUGGAGCAAUUUAUUGUGACAGCGUGCCUAUUGAAGAAUGAGCCGGCGAGUUAAUUUAUGUAGCAAGGUUAAGAUAUUAAGUAUUGGAGCCGAAGCGAAAGCGAGUCUGAAUAGGGCGUUUUAGUUGCAUGGAUUAGACCCGAAACCGUGUGAGCUACCCAUGACCAGGGUGAAGCGAAAUUAACGUUUCGUGAAGGCCCGAACCCUUGUACGCUGCAAAGUGCUGGGAUGAGUUGUGGGUAGAGGAGAAAUUCCAAACGAACACGGAGAUAGCUGGUUCUCCCCGAAAUGUAUUUAGGUACAGCCUUAGGUAUUAACUGAUGGAGGUAGAGCACUGGAUGAGCUAGCGGGCGCAAGUUUAGCAAACUCAACCAAACUAAGAAUGCCAUCAGCCGAAUCCUAGGAGUGAGACAGUGACGGAUAAGCGCCAUUGUCGAAAGGGAAACAGCCCAGAUCGCAAGCUAAGGUCCCAAAGUUAUAGUUAAGUGGUAAAGGAAGUUGGAUCGCCCAGACAGCUAGUAGGUUGGCUUAGAAGCAGCCAUCCUUUAAAGAGUGCGUAAUAGCUCACUAGUCGAGGGGUUCUGCGCCGAAAAUUAUCGGGGCUAAACUAUACACCGAAGCUGCGGGAUUCUUUAUGAAUCGGUAGGGGAGCGUUCUCAAUGCACUGAAUCUGAAUUGUGAAAUUUGGUGGAGCGUUGAGAAGUGAGAAUGUCGGCAUGAGUAGCGACAAUCUUUGUGAGAAUCAAAGACACCGGAAGUCCGAGGUUUCCUACGCAACGUUGAUCGGCGUAGGGUUAGUCGGUCCUAAGGAGAAGCCGAAAGGUGAAUUCGAUGGACAGCUGGUCAAAAUUCCAGCACCGUAAUUAUCCUGUUAUGCAACGAAGGGACGCGAUAAGGACUGUUAAGCAUGCCUAUGGACAUGGUGUGUGGGGCCUUGUAGGGAAGUGAUUGUGGUUAAAAGAACAGUUACGUUAUUAACUGAGAAGGUUUCAGACCUUAAGGCUUCGGCCUUAGGGAAUUUAACACGAACUACGUCGCCAAGAAAAGCUUCGUUGAUAGGGAUAUUAUGACCGUACCGAAAACCGACACAGGUGGACAGGGGUAAAAGCCCCAAGGUGAACGAGAAAACCAUCCUCAAGGAACUCGGCAAAUUAACCCCGUAACUUCGGAAUAAGGGGAGCCUAAAGUAUAUAGACCUCGCGUUGAAAGUAUUUUAGGCCGCAGAGAAUUGGUCUGAGCGACUGUUUAUCAAAAACACAGGUCCGUGCUAAAGCGAAAGCUGAUGUAUACGGGCUGACGCCUGCCCAGUGCCGGUAGGUUAAAGUGAAGAGUGAGAGCUUUGAUCUGAAGCCCCGGUGAACGGCGGCCGUAACUAUAACGGUCCUAAGGUAGCGAAAUCCCUUGUCGGGUAAGUUCCGACCUGCACGAAAGGCGUAACGACUUGGACACUGUCUCGAGGGUGGACUCGGUGAAAUUGCAUGACCCGUAAAGAUGCGGGUUACGCGCAGCAGGACAAAAAGACCCCGUGGAGCUUUACUGUAGCUUGGCAUUGAAUUGUGAUUAAUGAUGUGUAGGAUAGGCGGGAGACUAUGAAUUUUGAGCGUCAGCUCAAUUGGAGUCGCCCUUGAAAUACCGCCCUUCUUUGGUCUUGAUUCUAACUUUUUUAGGACAGUGUCUGGUAGGCAGUUUGACUGGGGCGGUCGCCUCCUAAAAUGUAACGGAGGCGCCCAAAGGUAACCUCAGGCUGGAUGGAAAUCAGCUUUUGAGUGCAUUGGCAUAAGGUUGCUUGACUGCGAGACCAACAAGUCGAGCAGGGACGAAAGUCGGGCAAAGUGAUCCCACGGUACCGAGUGGAAGGGCCGUGGCUUAACGGAUAAAAGCUACCCCGGGGAUAACAGGCUUAUCUCCCCCAAGAGUCCAUAUCGACGGGGAGGUUUGGCACCUCGAUGUCGGCUCGUCGCAUCCUGGGGCUGAAGAAGGUCCCAAGGGUCGGGCUGUUCGCCCGUUAAAGCGGCACGCGAGCUGGGUUCAGAGCGUCGUGAGACAGCUCGGUCUCUAUCCGCUGUGCGCGAAGGAUAUUUGAAGGAAUCUGUUCCUAGUACGAGAGGACCGGAAUGGGCAAACCAAUGGUGUAUCGGUUGUAACGCCAGUUGCAUAGCCGAGUAGCUAAGUUUGUUAGGGAUAAGCGCUGAAAGCAUCUAAGUACGAAGCCCCUCCUGAGAUAAGAUAUCCCAUCUCUUUAUGAGAGUAAGAUCCCCGGAAGACUACCGGGUUGAUAGGCUACAUGUGUAAGUAUAGUAAUAUAUUCAGCUAAGUAGUACUAAUAGAUCGAGGAUUUGAUAAAUUU
rnacentral:rRNA from 1 species